rnacentral:rRNA from 1 species
UGGGGAAUAUUGGACAAUGGGGGCAACCCUGAUCCAGCAAUGCCGCGUGUGUGAAGAAGGCCUUCGGGUUGUAAAGCACUUUCAGUGGGGACAAACAAGGCGGAGCUAACACCUCCGUCCCUGAUGGUACCCAAAGAAGAAGCACCGGCUAACUCUGUGCCAGCAGCCGCGGUAAUACAGAGGGUGCAAGCGUUAAUCGGAAUUACUGGGCGUAAAGAGCUCGUAGGCGGUUCAGUAAGUUGGGUGUGAAAGCUCCGGGCUCAACCCGGAGAGGCCACUCAAUACUGCUGUGACUAGAGUCCAGUAGAGGAGCGUGGAACUCCUGGUGUAGCGGUGAAAUGCGCAGAUAUCAGGAAGAACACCGGCAGCGAAGGCGGCGCUCUGGGCUGGAACUGACGCUGAGGAGCGAAAGCAUGGGUAGCAAACAGGAUUAGAUACCCUGGUAGUCCAUGCCGUAAACGAUGGGUACUAGACGUCGGGAAGCUUGUCUUCUUGGUGUCGCAGCUAACGCAAUAAGUACGCCGCCUGGGGAGUACGGUCGCAAGAUUA